UACGAAGGUGGCGAGCGUUGUUCGGAAUCAUUGGGCGUAAAGGGCGCGUAGGCGGAUUCGUAAGUCGAUUGUGAAAUCCCUGGGCUUAACCCGGGAAUGGCAGUCGAAACUGUGAGUCUUGAGUACUGCAGAGGAUGGUGGAAUUCCUGGAGUAGAAGUGAAAUUCGUAGAUAUCAGGAGGAACACCGGAGGCGAAGGCGGCCAUCUGGGCAGUCACUGACGCUGAGGCGCGAAAGCGUGGGGAGCAAACAGG
rnacentral:rRNA from 1 species